rnacentral:rRNA from 1 species
GACGAACGCUGGCGGCGUGCUUAACACAUGCAAGUCGAACGGUAAGGCCCUUCGGGGUACACGAGUGGCGAACGGGUGAGUAACACGUGGGUGAUCUGCCCUGCACUUCGGGAUAAGCCUGGGAAACUGGGUCUAAUACCGGAUAGGACUCCGGACUGCAUGGUCUGGGGUGGAAAGCUUUUGCGGUGUGGGAUGGGCCCGCGGCCUAUCAGCUUGUUGGUGGGGUGAUGGCCUACCAAGGCGACGACGGGUAGCCGGCCUGAGAGGGUGACCGGCCACACUCGGACUGAGAAACGGCCCAGGCUCCUACGGGAGGCAGCAGGGGGGAAUAUUGCACAAUGGGCGCAAGCCUGAUGCAGCGACGCCGCGUGAGGGAUGCCGGCCUUCGGGUUGUAAACCUCUUUCAGCAUCGACGAAGCGAAAGUGACGGUAGGUGCAGAAGAAGGACCGGCCAACUACGUGCCAGCAGCCGCCGUAA